GAUGAACGCUGGCGGCGUGCCUAAUACAUGCAAGUCGAGCGAACAGACGAGGAGCUUGCUCCUCUGACGUUAGCGGCGGACGGGUGUGUAACACGUGUAUAACCUACCUAUAAUACUGGUAUAACUUCGGGAAACCGGAGCUAAUACCGUAGAAGAUAUUGAACCGCAUGGUUCAAUAGUAAAAGACGGUUUUGCUGUCACUUAUAGAUGGUUCCGGGCCGCAUUAGCUAGUUGGUAAGUUAACGGCUUACCAAGGCAACGAUGCGUAGACGACCUGUGAGGGGGAUAGCCGACACUGGAACUUGGCCACGGACAAGACUACUACGGGAGGCAGCAGUAGGGAAUGUUCGGCAAUGGGCGAAAGCAUUACGGAGCAAGGCCGAGUGAGUGAUGAAGGUGUUGGGUGCGUAAAACUGUGUUAUUAGGGAAGAACAAAUGUGUAAGUAAAUAUGCACGUCUUGACGGUACCUAAUCAGAAAGCAACGGCUAACUACGUG
rnacentral:rRNA from 1 species